GCUCCUAGAACAUAAAAAAAUCUGUAGAAGCUAGCUGAGAAUUUUGCAAGUGUGUCUGAAUGCCAAAUCAACUGAGCUCCCUGACUCCUGCAAAUGCAAAACAUUUGAAUUUCCUGUUGGCUCAGAGAUAAGCUGUACUCUUAAUGAGACUUCCACUGGCCAGAGAAAUUGGGAUGUUGGUCAUGGUUGGCCCUUUAGACUUUUAGGAACCAGGCCACAGAUGCCCUGGACUUGGAAUUCAACUUGCAAGAGAGAACAAGUCUGACCAGGAGGAGAUGGACCAUCUAGCUGAGAAGAGAUCCUGAAGCAUGGUACAAGUUGGAGAUUUUCAUUCAGAGUCAAACCUCACAAAACAUGAGGCAGAUAAACAUAAGGUCUAGACAACAUUUAGAAUUUUUUUUUUUUUUAAAUAUCACUUUCCAACAAAUCAUUGAGAACAGGUGGGAACCUGGAGUUAAGCAAAGACAUUUUGCAUAAUAGAGAAUUUUUGUUUUCCGAGAAGCAAAGACAAGAAAAAUUAUCGUGUGGUCAUUUUGCUACCAGAUUGAAUGUGUUUUUUUAAUAUACGAAAAGGUGGAUUCUUUUUGGAUUCUUGGUGGAUUCUAUCAAACAACAAAGUGUCUGGAUGUCAUAGCUACAUCCUGUAAAUAUCUCUUUUGUUUUGCCAGUUGUAAAACCUGUUUUGACCUUCUAGUAUGGGAAAAUAGCCCAAAUGGCCUGUUUAAUAGACCAGAGAAAGCACAGUGUUUCCAAAGGGCCUGGAGUAAGUGAGCACCCAGAAUCCCAGAAAGCCAAGAAAUUUGAAGGCAGACAGACUUGAUUUAAUUAUUUUUUACUACAAGUCUCAUUUCAGAGAAUGAUUAACGGGAGAAGAGACAUAAAUGGCAAAUACUUGAUCAAAGUAGCUGCUGUCAGGGUACCAUCUAGAUAAAUUAGGAAAAGAAUGCUCAGGUUUCUGUGAAAGAAGACUAAUGACAUCAAGUCAAGAUGAAAUAGAAAGGAGCAGCAUUGCAGGCUGGAAAUCAUAAAAGACUAGCCUGCCCUGACAAGAAGCCCUGAGAAAUUUCCCGAACUGGAAAGUAAUUGGAAUUGGGAAGGGAUUACUUUCUGUAAGAGCCGAGUCUUGAAGUUACACAGGACUGAAGAUGACCCAGGCACCAAACUUGCAUUUUGGAACCUGUCGAGACAAGUGAAGGAAUCUUCUGGAAGCAUCUGAAGCAGCAGCUGUUAGUAUCAGCUCUGCACACUGCAGGUGUUUUGUAUCUCCUGUGCUCACUCUACUCAACCAGGAUCAGUCCCUUCACUUAAAAGCUCAAACAGUCCCACCUGGAGGCACGCAGACUGGAUGAAAGGACUGUGAAACCAGUAGACAUUUGUGUAAUUUGGAGAACCUGUUUACAGGAAUGGCUGUCUCCUGGAGAGAGCAGUGGCCCUAGCUGAAAUCGAGAGAAAGCUUUACGAGUGAUCUGAACGUACUUGUGUGAAGAGAGGCAUCUUAGAAGAGUUCUUGAGCAAGAGGUAAUCUGACACAAAGCGUAUUUACAGCAUAGCAUUUUUCAAGAUGACCAUUUGGAAACAACAUUUGGAGGAACAUUUGGGUUGCAUCCUCUAACUAAAUUUCCAAGCUGUUGGUAACGGACUAAAGAAAAUGCGGUCUGCACUGAAUACUAAAGAGCUGCAAAUAUACCUGAUGUAUUACUUCAUCAGCAAAUUCAACAAGGCCAAGAUGUCUUCAUUUUCCUUCCGAGAAGAGCUGUAAGAGCAGUGUGGUGGAAGCAUUGGUCUGCUGUGGGCAGCCGGAGAGAGCCCAUCAACAGCUGUGAUGAGCAGAGCAGACACGGGAGACAGGAGGCAGCUGAAGCCAGAGAGGACCCACGCCUGGAGCUGUGUCUGUGUGAUUGGAGCAGAGAGGCCAGGACCCAAGGAAAUCCCAGCAGCAAGGGAAAAAAACAGAUUGACUCUCAGUGACUCAUUUAGCUCCUGGAUUGGACAGAUCUCUCCCCUGCUGGCAAUUUGGCUGAGCAUCAAUGGACAGAUACCAGGAUGAAUAGCUUAAAAUAAUUAGGGGUUGGGAAUCUGCAAAACUGCUAGCCAUCCAAUUCUUUACUGUGCAAUGCGAGGCAGAAAAAAGAAAUUACAUUUAGGUUAUUAAAUAUUAAGUCAGUGGAUUUACUUCCAUUUGGUGCAGAACAGGAAACUGGCUAAAAUUCAACAUUUAUAUCAUUGUGUUGAUGGUCUGUUUAUCACUGAGCAAGUAAGUGCCUUUUGGCAGGUCAAGCUCUUUGACACAUGGGGCAAAUGUGUGCUUAAUUUCUCCCAAACAGAUGAAUUAAUAUAAUAAUAAUUAACACAGAUGAGAACAGAAUUAAAAUCAAGUACAGUCAGGAGUUCAGUUUAAUGCCAGGUGUCUCACAUUCUAGAUGUUCUGGGGCCAGACUUUUCCUGUUGAAGGUAACAAGGAUUUUGCCUUUGGCACUUAUGGGAACUGAAGUGGGCCUUGGAUGCAGAGAGACAGGAUUCCCUGUACUUUGUAUUUAAUGCACCAAACCAGAAGCAACAGGCUCAUUUAGUACCACUAAAGGUCAGUUAAAAUUAUAGAGACAUCCUUUGGAGCAAAUCCUCUGCCUUGUAUUUGCAUAUUUAUGAAUUAGAGAUUACGACAGGCUAUUUCAUUUAUUAGAGCAGCACUGCUAUAGUUAAUAGUCUGUCAGUAUUUCCAUUAUAAACCCCGUUUUUCAGUGUUUAAUAUCUCAGCCAUUUAAAAUCACAUCAGGAAGCAAGUUGGUCUUAUGUUGCUGGCCAGGUGCAAUUUAUUGUUAUGGAUUAUUUUCAAUAAUGACAUACUGCUCAUCAUAUAUGCAGAUGAACCACAGCAUUUCUGUUGGAGGGACAUAGCAAAGUGUGUAGAUUCAUUGUGACUUUGUUUUUCUUUAGGAAAGAAGAGAAAAGAGAGAUUUGACCAAUCAUGUCAACAGCAGCCUUAUGUUAGAAGUUUUUCAAGCAACUGCUCUCAGAGGAAACACUGGUUCUCAGUGGGAAAUCAGGCUGCUGUUUGCUUGCCUGUGGUGACCAAGAUGGAGGCACCUCACUGCAUUUGUACUCUUCUCUACUGCUUGAGAUUUACUUAUGUCCCUGGUGUGUUGUGAUAAACCUCUGAAUGUCACUGCUGUGAAGGUUUUGUUCUUCCCAAAGACUCUCCUGAGGUUCAGUGAAGAUGUGUCCAGAGCACAAGCUCCAAAAAGCUCAUGGUAAAGCGUCUGCUUUCACCUCUCAGAUUCAAGCUGGUUAAAGGAUUUGAGGAAAACUGCUGUGGGCAAUGAAGAACAAUGAAGAUCAUUUAGAUGAGCUGCAGGUCUUCUCAUAAAAUUUUCAAAAUUUGGGAUGAGUGGCAAAAUUUUCAGUGGAUCCAAAGUAACCAGAAUAGGAACAGUCAUCUUAGCAAGAGAAACCAGGACACCAGUGUCCUCCUCUCAGGCUGAUGGUUGCUCCUCAGCAUUUGGCAGGUCAGACAGGUACUUAGCACUUUCAAAAUGCAAGCUCCAGCAGGCUGUAAGGAACAUCUACACUUAGAGAAGUCUUUCUGGAAAGCCAAUGGGAGCUAAUUGCUCAAAUAUUAGUGCAUCAUGACGAGAUUUUUGAAGCUGAUUGUUACCCCAUGGAAUCCAAAUCACAAGCUCCUCCAGCAAUCAGCAGAACUAUUAAUUAACCUGAGGGCAGUCCCUGGCCCACUGCAAGCAUGGCAGGAUCCAUGCAAGGGAGCAGAGGAAGAUACGGGCUCACAUUCCAGCAAAGGUGUCCACAGAGGGAUGUGCUUCCCUUUAGGGAGCUGUUGAGCCCCUUCUAACAUGGGUGUUCUUCAGCCUGCAUCCAUAGAACAGAGCUCUUCUCAGGCCAUCUUCCCAACACAGGCCUGAGGUCCCUGUGCAAAUAUUGCCUGUCUCGAGGUGUUCCUGCCUGUGCCUGUGGAGGGUGCUGAUCUCAGGAGAAUGGAGAUGGAGCACAUCCAUGGAAAUGUGGCUGGUUGGGAUGGCAUGUGUGAAGCAGCACAGUCACCGAGGAGCAGGCUGGAGAGGAAACAGCACCUCUGUACCCACGGCAUGAGACCGGGGGCCCUCAGGAGCCAGCACCCCUGGGGUUGGUGGGACACAAACAAACCCCGUGGAGUCCCAAGGGGCUCCCACGAAGCAUAAAAUAUCUAUCCAGAUUUCACGUCAACCAGGAAUGGCACAAGCUUGGCCAGGGACUCCAGGCAGUGGCUGGUGGGUUCUGUGAAGCCUCGGGGCAAGAGCACUGUGGCUCCCCAGGAACAUCACAAGCAAAUAGCUGCCAGCUAACCCCAGGUGCACACAGAAUCAAUCUGGAGCUGAAAACAUCCCCGCAGGAAGUGUACACAUCCCUGCUUCUACAGGAACAGAAACAGCAAUAACUUCAGGUCCUGUAAGCUGCAAGUUCAGCUCACAGAGAUCAGCCCUGGCUUGUCAUCGCUCUCAGCAUGCUGGGGAUGAGAUCAGAGCACCUCGCCAAGGACUCCUGCUCCAGCUUGACAAGGGACAGAGGUGAGCGUGUUACACCUCACUGCCACCCGCCCCUCCAGCUGCAGAAGGGAAUCGAGGGCCCCCCUGUUUAACAUGCACUCACAGCACUGCCAAUCUAAAAUGGCUGAUCAGUAAUACUUUAAUUGCAGUUUCAUAGAAACAAAUUGCUAUUUAAUUGCAAUAAGCUUGUCUGUGGCUUAGCUGGACUGACAAUAGGCAUACACCUGGAAGUAACAGUAACAAGCAGCAACAAGGGUUAUCUGGUACUGCAGGUACACGAGUGUCAGGCAGUGCCAUCAAACCCAGAACACAAUUUCACACCGAUUAAAUGUAAUACUUAAAAAAUGUAUAUACAUAAAUUCCCUAAUCUCAAUUUGAUUAUUUUAAUAGAGCUGUUCAGAAUAGAUACUUGCAAAAAGCUGCACACUUCACAUAUAACUACCAGCAAAAUACUUUGGUGGAAGAUUUAAAUUGAAGUGAUCUUUUGAAAUCACAGAAUGAGGUUGUAAAAGACCUGUGAGAUCAUCGAGUUGAAUUGAACACCACCGUGUCAAGCAGACUGUGGCACUCAGUGCCAUGUCCAGUCUUUCCCUAAACACCUCCAGGAGCGGUGACUCCACCGCCUCGACAGCACUGCAUACUCUGCCAGUAUGUGAGUAUGGGGGUUUUAGUGUUUACCCUAAUGUCAGGUGAUGCAAGUUUUAUCACUGUUAACUAACAGGGAAAAAGGGAGACAAACUCAGUGUGGUUAAUAUUCUGAAGGUGUGACUUAAUUUCAUAGGCUUCAUUUUGUUAAGACAUUCUCAUUUUAUAUUUCAUAAGAUACUGCAUAACCUGUUAAAAUAUUUAAAGAUAAAUCAUGUAGGACUGAAAAGACAGUAUCUUGUUGCAAACAGAAUUUGGUUUGGAAAAGCUUAAUGUCCCACUGCCUGCCAGGAUGCGUAAAUCUCAUAACUAGACAGCUGGAUAGGUAAAAACAUUAAACCCAUUUAGAGGGCAAUCUUUUUACAAAAUUGUUUCAUUAAUAAGAGUGACAAUUUAUAUGAUUGAGAUGUUUAGAUGCAGUAUAGACAGAGCAUUUUAUCCAGGUUCAUGAGGAUGAUUUCAGAUUAGUAGUAUUUCCUUUGAUUCUUUUUUUAACAGCAUUCAUUUUUGAAAGUAAGGGAAGCUCUUACUGAAUGAUUAUUUGACUUUUCAGCAGCACUAAAUGCAAAGAGUGUAUUUCAGCCUCAGUGCAGCAAAUACACGUGAUAAAAGGUGAACACAUAUGUGUUUUUCUUUAGAGAUCUCCUUAAAAAGAAGUUAUUUUUCUUAUAAAGAAAAAUUUAAGUGUAUCCAGUAGCCUUCUGCCCACACCUACCAUCCCCAUUACAGCCUGUUUCAUUGUGUGAAAUGCCUCUGGUUUCAAGAAAGUGUUUUACCUAAAGCAAGAAUACUACUUAAAUAUGUUCUAUUGUAUAUUCAUAGCUCCAUUAGUCCUCCUGCAAUUUAGCACAUCAAAGCAAAGGCUUCAUCACUUGCAUGUGGAUUAUGCUAACAUGAGUGACAUUUGUAAUCUUAUAGGUCUGCAACUUAAGAAAUGCUUUUAAAGUAAGCUAUUAAAUAGGUAGCUGUGCUUUACAAAUGAGUCAUAUAAUAGUUUAUUUAAAGCUGUUAAUGAACUUCAACCUCUACAUCACUAAAUGCAAUACUACAUUACUUACUAGAAGUUAUUAGCUAUCUUCUUAGCACUUCUAGGUUAUAUUGGACAACCAAAAAUCUGUACAUGUUAGAUUUAAACACUGUACCUUGAGUGCUUAUACUGAAAGAAUAUAAAAAGAUGUCGACAGUCUAACUAAUACUUGAAUUCUAUAUUCAUAUGACUGCUAGUGUCUUUUCAAAGAUAUUGAAGCAGCACAAUUUGCAGGACUCUGAAGACUUUAAUGCCAGAUCAAAAAGCUUAGAAACUUAUUUAAAAUACCCACAAGUGCAUUUAAUUAAAAGUUAUACAUAGUGUCAGUCAUUUAUGUUGUGUUUUACGUUAUGCAAGUAGUCUUUUGUCUUUACUGUCUGAUACUGUACGUGGCUACAUUUUCUUUUCUCUGAAAGAGCUUCUUCCUCAAGCACUGAAGUGUUAAAAGAAAUUCUGCCCUCCAAUAUACUAGAGGUCACGAAGUAAAAUCUGAAACAAAAAUAUCUGCUCUUGGUUGUUUAGACAGAUAAAUCUAUAAAUCAGCUUUUUGUGUAUUGGCAUCACAACAAAAAUAAGUCAAGCUCACUCCAUAACCAAGCAGCGGAGCAGUGAACACCUUCUCAAAAAACGAAUUAAAAUAAUGAUGUGUUGUGAAUGUAUUAGUUUCCUAUAAAAGUAGAGUAUUUCUUGAUAUUGAUUUGCUUUGGAUUGCAGCGAAGGUAGAUUCGUUGCUUGCAGCUUCCUGACUGAAGUAUACAGUGGACAGCCACAGAUCCAUGUUAGUAUGCUGGCUAAAAACAUGAGAAGUCAGAUUUUUUUGUUUUUCUCAAAAGUAUUCCGCACAGAUCUACCACAAAACAGCUGAUGGGAAAAUUGUGCAGAAUGAAGUUGUUCCCUUUCUAAGCUUCGAAGCUCUGCUGCUUUACGGGGAGGUGGUUUUUGUUUGUUUGCUUUCAGAGAACAGAUCACAUUUUGAGAUCAGCUGGUUCUCAGAAACAGCCCAGGAAGCAGGUUUUUCUUUCCUUAAGAUUAUCAGCAUUGAAAAGUUAAAGUCUCUUACCCCAGCAAACACAACUUUAUGUUGUUCAGAUGAGAAUAGCUAUUGUAUUCCUUUUCAUGAACACUCAAUUCUAGUGCUCAGCAUGAGGUUCAGACCUUUCAUUGGCUUUUAUUUUUUUGACCUCUUAUGGUAUAUUCAUAUCCUCUUAUGCUUGCAUGCUCAGAGACACAGGCACGUCCUUAACACAGAAGGAACUGGAAAGAAAGAGACCACAGUACCUCUGUGUGUGCUGUAAUUCACUGCAAGAGGAAUUAUAAUGUACUUGCUGUAACCAGAAUUAAGAAUCUCCAUUAAAAUAUAUAUCAUUUUGAAGUAGUACUUGUUAUCCCUUGCCACAAGUAACACAGUAAGUAGUUUAGCAGAGUCUUUCCUGGUAUAAGACAAAAAAUCCGAACCAAAACCCUACUUUUAAAGGUAACUGACAAUGAAGGUAACGACUAUGAAAGAUGGAAGUUGCAGAAUGUUCUGAAUAUAAUUUAAAAAAAAGCAAAGCUUCUAAAACCCAUACUCAGUUUUGUUUUACUUUUUAUUAUUUAAAUACACCAUACUAGAGCAAAUGUCUCUGAAAAUAUCACAAAUAAAAGAUUUUUCUUCAUUCAGCAAAUUAGAAGUAGGUGAAAAUUUCUACACAGUAGCUGCUAUGAGCCUGACUUUUUUUUUUUUUUUUGCCAUGGGAAGUAGCAACAUUAGGACAAAAACACUUACAU